AGAAAAAGUGGCGCACGGGUGCGGUAACGCGUAUGCAACCUACCUUAAUCAGGGGGAUAGCCCGAAGAAAUUCGGAUUAACACCGCAUAAAAUCACAGUAUAGCAUUAUACAAUGAUCAAAUAUUUAUAGGAUUAAGAUGGGCAUGCGUGACAUUAGUUAGUUGGCGGGGUAACGGCCCACCAAGACCACGAUGUCUAGGGGAUCUGAGAGGAUGACCCCCCACACUGGUACUGAGACACGGACCAGACUCCUACGGGAGGCAGCAGUAAGGAAUAUUGGUCAAUGGAGGCAACUCUGAACCAGCCAUGCCGCGUGCAGGAAGACAGCCCUCUGGGUCGUAAACUGCUUUUAUUCGGGAAUAAACCUCAUUACGUGUAGUGAGCUGAAUGUACCGAAGGAAUAAGGAUCGGCUAACUCCGUGCCAGCAGCCGCGGUAAUACGGAGGAUCCAAGCGUUAUCCGGAUUUAUUGGGUUUAAAGGGUGCGUAGGCGGCUUUUUAAGUCAGGGGUGAAAGACGGUGGCUCAACCAUCGCAGUGCCCUUGAUACUGAAGAGCUUGAAUACAUUAGAGGUAGGCGGAAUGUGACAAGUAGCGGUGAAAUGCAUAGAUAUGUCACAGAACACCGAUUGCGAAGGCAGCUUACUAUGAUGAGAUUGACGCUGAGGCACGAAAGCGUGGGGAUCAAACAGGAUUAGAUACCCUGGUAGUCCACGCCCUAAACGAUGAAUACUCGCUGUUAGCGAUACACAGUUAGCGGCUAAGCGAAAGCGUUAAAGUAUUCCACCUGGGGAGUACGGUCGCAA
rnacentral:rRNA from 1 species